UACGGGGGGGGCAAGCGUUGUUCGGAAUUACUGUGCGUAAAGGGCUCGUAGGUGGCCAACUAAGUCAGACGUGAAAUCCCUCAGCUUAACUGGGGAACUGCGUCUGAUACUGGAUGGCUUGAGUUUGGGAGAGGGAUGCGGAAUUCCAGGUGUAGCGGUGAAAUGCGCAGAUAUCAGGAGGAACACCGGUGGCGAAGGCGGUUCUCUGGGCAUGUCCUGACGCUGAGGAGCGAAAGUGUGGGGAGCGAACAGG
rnacentral:rRNA from 1 species